AGCUGAGUGGUGAAAGCGCUGGCAUAGUAUGCCAAAGGCCCUGGGUUCGAGUCCUGG
rnacentral:tRNA from 1 species